GGCCGGUUGGCGCAAUGGUAGCGCGUAGCCCUCCUAAGCAUCUGCUACGGUAAGGCUGAGGCUGUGGGUUCGAGUCCCACAUUGGUCG